rnacentral:rRNA from 1 species
GAUGAACGCUGGCGGCGUGCCUAAUACAUGCAAGUCGAACGCUUCACUUCGGUGAAGAGUGGCGAACGGGUGAGUAAUACAUAAGUAACCUGGCAUCUACAGGGGGAUAACUGAUGGAAACGUCAGCUAAGACCGUAUAGGUGUAGAGAUCGCAUGAACUCUAUAUGAAAAGUGCUACGGGACUGGUAGAUGAUGGACUUAUGGCGCAUUAGCUGGUUGGUAGGGUAACGGCCUACCAAGGCGACGAUGCGUAGCCGACCUGAGAGGGUGACCGGCCACACUGGGAUUGAGACACGGCCCAGACUCCUACGGGAGGCACCAGUAGGGAAUUUUCGGCAAGGGUGGAAACCCUGACCGAGCAACGCCGCGUGAAGGAAGAAGUAAUUCGUUAUGUAAACUUCUGUCAUAGAGGAAGAACGGUGGAUAUAGGGAAUGAUAUCCAAGUGACGGUACUCUAUAAGAAAGCCACGGCUAACUACGUGCCAGCCGCCGCAGUAA